rnacentral:rRNA from 1 species
AUGGGGGGAGAGACCAAGGUGGUCGAGGAGACCAAGGUGGAGCUGAAGACGGCCGUGUACAAGGUGCACGUCCACUGCGGGCAAUGCGCGCGCGACAUCGAGACGCAGUUCACCGAGUUCCACGGGGUUCAGGAGGUGAAACUGGACGCCGGGUCAGGGAAGGUGACGGUGAGGGGCGUCGGGUUCGACGAGGAGAAGCUCAGGGUGAAGGUGUCCAAGGGAUGCAGGAAGCACGUUGAGUACAUACCUCCCCCACCUCCCCCCAAGGAGAUAAUCACCGAGGUCAAGAGCACGAAAGAGGAGAUCAAGAUCAUAACCGUGAAGGUUCCCUUGCACUGUCCGGACUGCGCCGUCAUGGUCAGAGAGAUCCUACUUGAGCACAAGCAUAUUUACGCUGCCAAGACGGACUUCGGCAAGAACACUUGUGUCAUCGAGGGCGUCAUCGAGGAGAAGAAGCUGACCGAGUACAUCUACCAGAGGACGCGCAAGCACUGCGUCAUCGACAAGGUAGAGACGAUGGUGCGCAUCGUGGAGGAGACGGUCGUGGUGAAGAAGAAGAAAGAGGAGGAGGUCGUGAAGGUGGUUGAAGAGGUUGCAGAGGUUGUAGAGGAGAAGAUCAAGGAGGUGGUGGCCCCCUACUUCCUCCCCUGCACGCACCCGCACUUCGCCGACUACUCGCACCCGUCGCACCGCUGCGGCGGCGACAGCUGCUCGCCGUACGGUGGCGGUGGUGGUUACGGUUAUGGCCACGGGCACGGCUACGGUGGUGGUGGUGGUUACGGUCAUGGCUAUGGUGGCGGCUGUGGGUCAUACAGUAUGCACUCGGAGCUCAGAGGGUACCAGGACACGUCGUUCUUGCAUUGUUCGCACCCUGUUGACUUCCUCAGUCACGACAACCCCAAUGGAUGCUCCGUCAUGUAG